CUCCUCUCUGUCACCAGCGAA
rnacentral:siRNA from 1 species